rnacentral:rRNA from 1 species
UACGUAGGGGGCAAGCGUUGUCCGGAUUUAUUGGGCGUAAAGAGCGUGUAGGCGGCUUGGUAGGUCCGCUGUGAAAACUCGAGGCUCAACCUCGAGAUGUCGGCGGAAACCACUUGGCUAGAGUCCGGAAGAGGAGAGUGGAAUUCCUGGUGUAGCGGUGAAAUGCGCAGAUAUCAGGAAGAACACCCGUGGCGAAGGCGGCUCUCUGGGACGUGACUGACGCUGAGACGCGAAAGCGUGGGGAGCGAACAGG